rnacentral:miRNA from 1 species
AUAUAUGUGUGUGUGUAUAUAUAUAUACAUACACACACACAUACAUACAUAUAUGGGUAUAUACAUACACACACAUACAUACAUAUAUGUAUAUAUAUA